rnacentral:rRNA from 1 species
GACGAACGCUGGCGGCGUGCUUAACACAUGCAAGUCGAACGAUGAAGCCGGAGCUUGCUCUGGUGGAUUAGUGGCGAACGGGUGAGUAACACGUGAGUAACCUGCCCUUGACUCUGGGAUAACUGCGGGAAACUGUAGCUAAUACCGGAUACGACCCUCGGCGGCAUCGCCAGGGGGUGGAAAGAAUUUCGGUCAAGGAUGGACUCGCGGCCUAUCAGCUAGUUGGUGAGGUAACGGCUCACCAAGGCGACGACGGGUAGCCGGCCUGAGAGGGUGACCGGCCACACUGGGACUGAGACACGGCCCAGACUCCUACGGGAGGCAGCAGUGGGGAAUAUUGCGCAAUGGGCGCAAGCCUGAUGCAGCAACGCCGCGUGAGGGAUGACGGCCUUCGGGUUGUAAACCUCUUUUAGUAGGGAAGAAGCGAAAGUGACGGUACCUGCAGAAAAAGCACCGGCUAACUACGUGCCAGCCGCCGCAGUAA